rnacentral:piRNA from 1 species
UUUCAAAAACUGAACGGGCAUUAUG